rnacentral:lncRNA from 1 species
CUUCAUUGCUAAUGCCAGUUUGUCCAGAAUUACUGAUUAAUGAAAUUAGAAAAUGGAUUCUUAGCAGUUUUGGGAGCAACAUGAAACCAAGGGCAUCAUUGGUGCUCAGUGAUCCUCUGCACCAUUAUGGAUAGGAUGCUAAAAAAUUUUUAAAUUCUUUAGUUUAAUUUUGUUACAUUUACAUGCUUUGCUUGGCAACACCAGACAGAGCAUGCAAAUAAGGUUACCCCUUCUAAUUAGCUAUAGGAACACAUUUGUAUUUCUAAUGCUAUAGUGUUCUUUAACUCAGAUGUGUUAAAUGUGGUAUGUGCCCACCAAGAAAUCUUGCUUGAUUCAUGCACUGAACAUCUGAGAUCAUGAAGAAGACAGAAGAUAAGGUAUACAAUAUACUUCACUUGUAAUGUUUUCUUAUUGCAAUACUAUUUUUUUAAGACUGUAUUCUAGAGUGCUUUGUAUAAGACACAACCCCACAGGAUGGCUGUUUUAAAGGGGCACCCAAGACCCCUAAAGCACUUCAGCAUGUGGAAGUGCUUUAUGGGUUAAUUAUAAGUCCCUUUGUCCCAAUUCAUUUAUUCACUGAAAAGAGUACUUCAUUCAGCAAACUGACAAUUGUAUUGCAAAAUUCAGACUGUAGCCAUAUUAAAGAAUGCAUGUCGCCCCUCUUUUCUGGGAGCUCCAUAUUAUUGGUGAAUCUGAGUGCUUCACAGCAAUAAGUCAGUAAUGUGUUUUGGAACUCCCAUAACUAUGUUUAUAAAUCAUGUUUAUAAUGCCUCCGAACAGGCCCACCCCUGGCCAAUUCCCCCACCCCUUUGUGCAUUUGAAAUGUUAGAACGUAUGAAGAAAAAAAGAGCAUUUGAAAAAAAAUUCUAUUAUCCUAGGGGGACCCUGACCCUCAAGGUCCCCCUCCCAACGCGCUGAAGGGGUUAAAACCCCUUCAGCAGCUUACCUUAAUCCAGCGCCGGGCUCCCUCGGCACUGGUGACCUCUCCUCCCCUGCUGACGUCAGCUCCCGAAUGGAGCGGAAUGCGCAUGCACGGCAAGAGCCGCGUGCGCAUCCAAACAGUCCAUAGGAAAGCAUUUCUCAGUGCUUUCCUAUGGACGUUCUGCACGUUGGAUGCAAAUUUUGCAUCCAACGUCUCAGAAGCGCCUCAAGAGGCUGUCAGGAAGACAGCCACUCGAGGUUGGGUUAACCCUGCUAUGUAAACAUAGCAGUUUCUCUGAAACUGCUAUGUUUACAUGUAAGGGUUAAAACCUGAGGCACCUGGCACCCAGACAACUUAAUUGAGCUGAAGUGGUCUGGGUGACUAUAAUGUCCCUUUAAGUACUCCAUCACUUACUGAUCCUUGAGUAUUACAUAUUCACUAAACAAAAUUAUAAAAGCAGUACCCCCAUUUUCCAUGAGCUGAACUCAAAGAUCUAAGAUUUUUUCUAUGUACACAAAAGGCCUAUUUCUCUCAAAUAUUGUUCACAAAUCUGUCUAAAUCUGUGUUAGUGAGAACUUCUCCUUUUCCGAGAUAAUCCAUUCACCUCACAGGUGUGGCAUAUCAAGAUGCUGAUUAGACAGCAUGAUUAUUGACCACCCCCGGGUUAGCCCACCAUAUUGAGAAUUUUAACAAAAGAUUAUUCCAUUUGUUAGAUCAGGUUUGAUCAACAAUUUUUUUCGUUAAAUCUACUCUAAAAUAUGCGAUAUUAACAAUCAUUUUCGGGGGGGCUAACCCGUAGCCAGCCCCCCUCAACAAAAAUUUGUACAAAAUGUUGAUUAUGAUAGCUCUACGUUAGAUCAGGUUUUGUCGGGAUCCCGCGGGCGGCUGCGAGGGGAGGCUGCACUCCGCUCGCAGUACUCACCCUCCAGCCGUCCGCGGUCCCCUCCUCCUCGUGGGUACAGCGAGCGGCAUCCUCGGAUGCCGCCCGCCAUUUCCUCCACGUCCCCCAGCGGCAGCAUGCAUGACGCUGCACGCUGGGAGACCGCCCAGGUUUAUACACGCCGGGGUCAGUCACCUGACCCGGCAUUAAAGGCACAGUGCCUUAAUCACAGUGGGAGGUCUAGAUAUCUCCCGCGUGUGAUUGUUAAUUCUGAUUGGAAAUUAUCCAAUCAGAAUUAACCUUAUGGUUUAAAUACUUACCUUUCCUGUUCCUCCCUGCCCUGUUGUGGUCUUUGCUUACUAGUAUUGCUACUUACCUUGUGGUUCUGGUUACGUACUCUCUGGCUUGUUUAUCUGACGCUGUGACUUUCUCCUACCCUUUGACCUCGGCUUGUUUCACGUUAUUCUGUCUUCUGGUUCCCCUUACUCGGCUUGUCUCCUAACUAUUCUGUGUGUGCUUAGCCCGGCCACUCUAAGGUCUGGUAUGGCACCUUUUGUGUGUGUGUGUGUGUGUGUGUCAGCGUGUUGGGUUCCCCGAAUCGUGACAGGUUUGAUCAGGCAACAUUUCUGUUAGAUCUAGUCUAAUUACUGAGAUAUUGCAUAUAUAAUUAGGGGGGGCUGAUCAAAAGUUUUUUUCGUUAGAUCUAUCACGCAAGAGGCAGUUUUCACUACUUAACUUUGUGGGCAUGACUUCAGGUUAGCCCCCCCUCAAGUGAAAUUUGAAUUUUUUAAAAUUGAUUUUGGUAGAUUCGUUAGAUCAGGUAAGAUCAACAGUUUUUUUUCCCCCUUAGAUCUAUCACGCAAGAGGCGAUAUUCACUACCUAACUUUGUGGGCGUGACUAUGGGUUAGCCCCCCUCAACUGAAAUUUGUACACAAUUCCCAGUUCUUACAUGGCCAGCAUAUUCACCGGACAGUAACCCAUUGUCCAUGUUUGGGAUGCUCUGGAUUGGCAUAUAUGACCAGCCUUAGGCCUUCACAGCACCCCCCCUUCAUCCAUAUAUAGUGUGUGUGUGUGUGUGUGUGUGUGUGUGUGUAUAGGAGUGUUGUAUAGGGAAUUUAUUAAAUUCAAUAAGGAUUUAACAACACAUAUUCAUUCCUCCUUUCCUGUUGUUACCUAGUUGGGAGAGAAGCAUGCUGAUCUGAAUCUGGUCUGCCCCUCCACUGGGUACAGACCAUGCAUAACUGUCCUGUGGUAAUCUGCGGCAGUGCUCUGAUUAUCCCGAGCUAGGAAGACAGCUACUUAUGGUCUGUAGCCAACAGAAGUGCCAGACUGCUUCCCCUACAUUACUGAGGAGCAGACUAAGUAUGUCACAUAAUACUGUGAGUGGUUUUGCUUUGGAGCUCUUGAUUAUACCUAUUUACCUUGACCUCUUUGGAAAUAAAAUUUAGUAGUAAUGCGCUACUUCUCCAUUUAUCACAGAGCUCCACAACAAUAAAACUCCCAGUAAUGUGGAGCUCUGUGACAAGAUCAUACACUACACAACAAUACAACUCUGAGUAAUGUGUCUAUUAGUGUAUUACCGAGCUCCCUAACUAUAAAACACAGAGUAAUGUGCAUUUUAUAUACCAGAGCUCCACUAUAAUACAUCUCACUAUAAUAUGAUGUAAUGUUUGUGUUGUCUAUGUAUGUGAUAGGUGUGAUGACUGUGUGUGAUAUGUAUGCUAUAUGUUGGCUGUGUGUGAUAUUUGUAAUGGGUGUAUUAACUGUGUGUGAUAUGUGUGUAUUGGGUGUUUGUGAUAUUUGUGCUGGGUUUAUUGGCUGUGUGUAAUGGGUAUUUAAUUCAGAUAAAAAUAUGCAUUUAGGCUUAUGUGUGAAUGCAGGUGUAUAUUUUUGCAGAGUUAUGUGCACAUAAUCCCACAGUUAGAUGCACACAGUUACACAUAUACACUGUCAAAUCCACCACAUGCACACAGUCGCAGACAGAUGGUCACAUACACAGGAUCGGGCAGAAAAACACAGGUACAGGCAGUAACUCACAUACACAGUUACAGGGAGAUAAACACACUCACACACAAUUACAGGCAGACAGCCACACAUACAGUCUUAAACACACAGGCAGACAGACACACACACACACACACACACAGGCAGACAGCCACACACACACACAGGCAGUCUCACACACACACACAGGCAGACAGCCACGCACACACACACACACACAGGCAGACAGUCACACACACAGGCAAUCACACAUAGUUAGCUCUGUUCAUCAUGGUGGAGUGGAGGCAGUGCAGCUCCUGGAGACUGAUUGUUGGGUUAGCAGAAACUCCUUCCUGCUUCCCCUGCAGCAGUUACCCGGCACUUUUAGCUCCGCCCCCUCCAUCAGUUUAGCUCCACUGCACAGUAAGCUCGCCCCCACACACGGUAAGCUCCGCCCCUGCUGCACAGUAAGCUCCACCCCCGCAGCAUUAUUAUUAUUUUUUAUUUUUUUUAUCCAUAGUUGCCAGCUGUCCCGUUUUUGCCAGGCCAGUCCCGGCCCCCCUCUCACACCGUGUCUCCCGGCCGCUGCAGGAGAUGUGCCCGCUCACACUGCUCACCCAGCGGUAAUGCUCUGAGGAGAGGAGCCUGUAGUGGGCGGGGCAUGUGAUAUCACUUCCCAUCAGGCCCUGCUAGAGAUUACCGAGCUGGGAGCGCAGGGAGCGGCACUUCCCAUCAGGCCCUGCUAGAGAUUACCGAGCUGGGAGCGCUGGGAGCGGCACUUCCCAUCAGGCCCUGCUAGAGAUUACCGGGCUGGGAGCGCAGGGAGAGCAGGGAGCGGCACUUCNNNNNNNNNNNNNNNNNNNNNNNNNNNNNNNNNNNNNNNNNNNNNNNNNNNNNNNNNNNNNNNNNNNNNNNNNNNNNNNNNNNNNNNNNNNNNNNNNNNNCCUCCUAGGUAUGGAGGGGAAGCCAAGACAUGCAGAGGUUUUAUUAAUCAAAUAGAAUUCCACCUUGAGAUGUAUCCUCAUUCCUUUCCCACUGAUAGGUCUAAAGUGGGUUUUUUGAUGCAUCAACUUACUGACAAAGCACUUGAGUGGGCAAAUCCUAUUUGGGAGGCCAAUGGACCUAUGGUUCAUGAUUUCAAUAGUUUUCUUGCAGCUUUUCGUAGAACUUUUGACACAACAAAGAGGUCAAAGAAUGCCGCAAGAGCAUUAAUGAGGAUUAAACAGGGGUCUAGGUCUGUGGUGGAUUAUGCUAUUCAGUUUCGUACCCUUGCUUCACAGGUAGAUUGGACCAAUAAUGGGUUAACUACUGCGUUCAUGGAAGGUUUAUCUGACACUAUAUUAGAUGAGGUAGCGCAAGGGAGCUUCCUAUUCCAUUAGAGGAUCUUAUUGACUACCUCAUUGAUAUAGAUAAUAGAAUUCGCGACAGGCUCUAUACCAAAAACAAGAAUAGACGUCUGGUCACAUCUAUUAACCCUAGAGUUGAUAAACCUGAGUGUGUUAAAGUACCCGAGGAGGAACCCAUGCAAUUAGGGGUUGCCAAACUCUCGGAUACUGAAAAACUACUUAGAAGAAGGAAUGGACUCUGCCUAUACUGUGGUAGGCGAGACCAUAUGGUAAGGGAAUGUCCUUUGCGUCGGGAAAACUCUCGCACCUAAGACCUUAUAGGGGACUGGCCUUGGGUGUGAUCUCUAAGUCUCCUAAAUUGCCUCCUAAUCGUUUGCUUCUCCCUGUUUCCCUUCAUAUGGGGGUGAGUUGUAUAGCAGAAUGCAUAUUAGCCUUGGUUGAUUCUGGGGCUGCUGAGAACUUUAUUGACUCUGAGUUUGUUACUAAAAAUAACAUUCCCGUCAGAGAAAGGGAGAUACCCUUGGCCAUUGAGGCCAUAGAUGGUAGACCAUUAAGUUCUCCAAUUGUUACUCAUGAAACUGUACCAUUACACAUGUAUACAGGGGUUUUACACUUUGAAACCAUUCAAUUCCAGGUUAUCACAUCUCCCUCUUCUCACAUUGUGUUAGGGUACCCAUGGUUUCGUACUCACAAUCCCAUUUUCGAUUGGGAGUCAGGGCAAAUAAAAUCAUGGAGCGAUGCCUGCCAUGAGUCCUGUACUAUUGAAGUCACCCCUUUGAAUUCUAUUAAUGUCCCUACAACUCCUCCUUUGUCCACUGUUAUACCCUCUCAGUACUUAUUUCUCAAAACUGUCUUCGAUAAAAGGGAGGCUGACAAAUUACCACCUCACAGACCCUAUGAUUGUGCUAUCGAUUUAUUGCCUGGCACAAUACCUCCAAAGGGCAGGGUGUACCCUUUAUCUGUUCAAGAAAACCGUGUCAUGGAGGAGUAUAUUAAGGAACCAUUAGAAAAGGGGUUUAUUAGGAGAUCCUCUUCUCCGGCUGGAGCGGGGUUCUUCUUUGUAUCAAAGAAAGAAGGUGAUUUAAGACCGUGUAUCGAUUAUAGAGGUCUAAAUAAAAUCACCAUCAAAAAUGCAUAUCCUAUACCUUUGAUCACAGAAUUAUUUGACAGACUCAAACAUGCUACUGUAUUCACUAAAUUGGAUCUUAGAGGUGCAUACAAUUUAAUACGUAUUAAGAAAGACCACGAAUGGAAAACGGCAUUCAACACUAGAUCUGGCCAUUACGAGUAUACUGUUAUGCCAUUUGGUCUAUGCAAUGCCCCAGCAGUAUUUCAAGAAUUUAUCAAUGACGUUUUAAGAGACUUUAUUCACACAUUUGUAAUUGUGUACUUAGACGACAUAUUAAUAUACUCUACAGAUUUACACACUCAUCACAGGCAUGUUACGACAGUUCUGAAGACCCUUCUUGCUAAUGGUCUUUAUUGUAAACUGGAAAAAUGUCUAUUUGACCAAUCCGAAGUCCAGUUUUGGGGGUAUUUAAUUUCCGCUAAAGGUUUUCGUAUGGAUCCCCAGAAGCUUUCUGCUGUCAUGGAAUGGCCUCUUCCACAAGGUUUGAAAGCCAUUCAGCGUUUUCUUGGUUUCUCUAAUUAUUAUAGACGCUUUAUUAAAGGUUUUUCCUCUAUUGUAGCGCCUAUCACCCGUAUGACAAGAAAGGGAGGCAAUACUCGUGUCUGGUCUCCCGAGGCACUUCAGGCUUUUGAGUUUCUUAAAACCACAUUCGCUUCUGCACCUAUUUUACAGCACCCUAUCCCCACACUGCCCUAUAUUCUUGAAGUUGAUGCUUCUGAUAUCGGGGUAGGUGCUGUCUUAUCCCAAAGAGAGUCGCCUGAAAAACCAUUGCAUCCUUGUGGCUUCUUCUCCAAACAAAUGUCCAAAGCAGAAAAGAAUUAUGAUGUGGGUAAUCGCGAACUCCUUGCUAUUAUUUUAGCACUGAAAGAAUGGAGACAUUUGUUAGAAGGAACUAAAGAUCCUAUUCUCAUAUUUACGGAUCAUAAGAACUUAUCCUACCUUAGUGAGGCUAAAAGACUGUCUUCUAGGCAGGCUAGGUGGUCACUAUUUUUGUCCCAUUUCAAUUACAUUAUCACCUAUAGGCCAGGUGACCGCAACACUAAAGCAGACGCUCUGUCCAGACAGUUCGAAACUGCUGACAAACAGGAGAUUGAUGUUACUCCUGUGAUUUCCCCAGAAAGGAUAAUCGCUACCACUGUUUUGUCUAUUUCUUCGUCCCUCUUGCAGGCCAUACAAGCGAAACAAAGCAUGGCACCUAGCGAGAGACCUACUGAUAAACUAUUCGUUGAUGUUCCCGAGAGACGGGGGAUUCUGUCGUUGUAUCAUGACACUAAGACUGCUGGACAUCCUGGUAUUUCCAAAACGGUGUCAGCAGUUUCUCGGUAUUUUUGGUGGGAUUCCUUACGCAAGGAUGUCACUGACUAUAUAGGUGCUUGUACUACUUGUGCCUGUAUGAAAUCUUCUCGUAGGGCUCCUUGUGGGCUGUUGCAUCCGCUACCUAUUCCCGAGAGACCUUGGUCUAACCUGUCCAUGGAUUUUAUUGUUGAAUUACCUCCCUCGAAUGGUAACACAGUUAUCCUAAUGAUAGUGGAUCGGUUUUCCAAGAUGGCUCACUUUGUGUCUCUUCACAAGCUGCCCACGUCCAGGGAACUAGCACUUGUUUUCGCCAGAGAGGUGUUUCGAUUACACGGCAUUCCCGUAUCUAUUGUAUCUGAUAGGGGUAGCCAAUUUAUUUCCAGGUUCUGAAAAGUCUUUUGUUCGGAAAUGGGUAUUUCUCUCUCAUUUUCUUCCGCUUACCACCCCCAGUCUAAUGGAGCUGCCGAACGUGCCAAUCAAUCUCUGGAGCAGUACCUUCGUUGUUUCGUAUCCCACCAUCAGAACAAUUGGUCUGACCUUCUUCCUUGGGCUGAGUUUGCUCUGAAUAACGCUACUCAUGAUUCUUCCGGCAAGAGUCCUUUUUACGUUGUAUAUGGCCAACAUCCUGUUGUUCUUCCGGCUGCUUUCUCCUCACAGGGCAUGCCAGUUCUGGAUGAAUAUUUGGCUAAUUUGCGUAAUACUUGGGAGCAGGUUCAGCGUUCUUUGGUGGAUUCCGCUGCUCGCCAGAAGGUGCAGGCUGACAAGCAUCGCAGGGCGGCUCCUUCUUAUGUUGUGGGGGACAGGGUUCUGCUUUCUACGCGAAACAUUCGCCUCCGGGUGCCUUCUAUGAAGUUGGCUCCCCGCUUUAUUGGUCCUUAUCAUAUUCUGCAUAAGGUUAAUCCUGUUUCGUAUGCCUUGGGUCUCCCUAAGAAUCUGCGUAUUCCUAAUGUCUUUCACACCUCGUUGUUAAAGCCUUUCAUACGCAACCGCUACACCCGACAUGCACCUCCUCCCCCUCCUGUUUCUGUGGAGGGUCAUGAGGAAUUUGAAGUUUCUGCAGUUCUUGACUCUCGUUUCCUUAGGGGCCGACUUCAGUACCUAGUGCAUUGGAAGGGCUAUGGGCCUGAGGAGUAUAGUUGGAUUUCCGCUGACGCGGUUCACGCUCCUCGUCUUGUGCGCUCUUUCCAUUCUCGUUUUCCUGCCAGGCCUGGCCCUCCCCGCCCGGAGGGCGUGUCCUCAGGGGGGGGUAAUGUAGCGGUACUUACCCUUUCCAGGGGCCGGCCAGGGUCCUCUGUUCGAGCCGCGCGCGGUCCUGCUGCUGCACGAGCCGCGCGCGGCUCAUCCGACGGCUGUGACUGGAAAGCGGUCACGUGUUCCACCUAACUCUAAGAGCGCGCCGCGGGUAUCGGGUGCGCUCUUAAAGGGACAGUGGGUGCCUAAAUUGGAAAAGGCAUCCCAUUGGUCCUUGUCAUGCCACACUCCCCAUACACUUACCUUUUGGGGGCGUGGAUGUGACAGGGACCAAUCAAAUUAGAUGUUUAGGUAUUUAUACUCACCUUCUUCCCUUUGUUCCUUGCCCUAUCGUGGUUUCUGUAUCAGUUCCCUUUAGCGCUUGUUGUGUUCAGUUGUGUUUCCCCGUAUUGACCUUGGCUUUGUUUCUGACUACGUUUUCUCUUUAUCCUUAUCUGUUCUGGUUGUCGGCUUGUUGUUUACUGUGUACCAGACCCCGGCUUGUCUCUGUGUGCCCUUGAUUUCGGAUUGUUCCUGACUCUGUCUCCUCUCAUAUACGUCGAGUCCGGCCAUUCUAAGGUCCGGUAGACGUAGCUCUCCUCUGUGUUGUCUUUUGUUUAGCUGAAUCCUGCGUGUUGGGGUAUAUUCUCGUUACAGAGAUAUUUCUUGGCCCAGUCUUGACGUUUCAGCUUGUGUGUCUUGUUCAGUGGUGGUCGUCUUUCAGCCUUUCUUACCUUGGCCAUGUCUCUGAGUAUUGCACACCUUGUGCUUUUGGGCACUCCAGUGAUGUUGCAGCUCUGAAAUAUGGCCAAACUGGUGGCAAGUGGCAUCGUGGCAGCUGCACGCAUGACUUUUCUCAGUUCAUGGGCAGUUAUUUUGCGCCUUGGUUUUUCCACACGCUUCUUGCCACCCUGUUGACUAUUUUGAAUGAAACGCUUGAUUGUUCGAUGAUCACGUUUCAGAAGCUUUGCAAUUUUAAGAGUGUUGCAUCCCUCUGCAAGAUAUCUCACUAUUUUUGACUUUUCUGAGCCUGUCAAGUCCUUCUUUUGACCCAUUUUGCCAAAGGAAAGGAAGUUGCCUAAUAAUUAUGCACACCUGAUAUAGGGUGUUGAUGUCAUUAGACCACCCCCCUUCUCAUUACAGAGAUGCACAUCACCUAAUAUGCUUAAUUGGUAGUAGGCUUUCGAGCCUAUACAGCUUGGAGUAAGACAACAUGCAUAAAGAGGAUGAUGUGGUCAAAAUACUCAUUUGCCUAAUAAUUCUGCACUCCCUGUAUAAAUGUAUAUAUCGUGUUUACUCAAAUAUGACAAGUUAUUUUUCAGAGGAAAUGCUAUGAAAGUUACCUCACCUUAUAUUCAAUUUCACCUUAUGAUCAGACUUUUUAAGAGAGAUCUGCUAAUAAGCCUGGGAUCCAGAUGCCCUGCAUUGUGUAGAGGAAUUGGAUCUCUUUGGUGACAAUGGAUGUCAGAUAUUGCAAAGUUGUUUUUUUUUUUAUUUCGAUUAAUAUAUUUAUUUGAACAUACAUAUGAGACUUAAUUUAAAUUUUUUUUUAUAAAAUGUCAUCAUUAUACAUUGACAAAUUUAAAAAGAUAGCUAGUACUAGGUACACACUCUCACAGAAACCUCCAAUGUCUUGACCUAGAGCAUUUCUCCACUAAUCUCCAAACUCUCCUUUUACCUAUCUCAAACCUCACCUGUCCUAGCUAUGCAACCUCCUUCUACAAUUCCACCCUCUCCUCUCAACUAGACAUCAUGGCACCUUGUACAUUUAAACGCCGCAGGCCCCCCCCCCAACAACAACCCUGGCACACCAAGCUCACUCGAUACCUCCAAAAAUGCUCCAGAACUGCUGAACGCUGUUGGAGAAAGUCUCACUGUGCAUCUGACUUUCUCCACUAUAAAUUUAUGCUGAGCUCAUACAACUUGGCUCUUUCCUCUGCAAAAGUUAAUUACUUCAAUACCCUCAUAACCACACUCUCCCGCGAACUCAAACGACUAUUUCACACAUUUAACUCUCUUCUUCGCCCUGCUGUUCCUCCUCCACCUACUAACUUGACCGCCUCAGACUUUGCAACUCACUUCACUGACAAGAUCUCUACAAUCAGAGAAGAGAUCUCUCAUCUUUCUUCUUCCCCUUAUAAUACUUCCCCUAACUUCACUCCCUCUGCUGUUCUAUGUUCAUUCGCACCCGCUACAUUGGAAGAGGUUUCUGCUCUGCUCCAGUCCUCCCGCCCCACCACCUGCUCCCUAGAUCCAAUUCCCUCGCAUCUCAUCCGUACUCUGUCUUCUCUUUCUCCACCUCUCACUAAAAUUCUCAAUCUCUCUCUCUCCUCUGGUAUAUUUCCAUUGCCCUUCAAACAUGCAACUGUAACCCCAAUUCUAAAGAAGUCCAAUCUUGACCCUAACUCCCCAUCCAACUAUUGUCCUAUCUCGCUACUGCCUUUUGAAUCCAAGAUCCUUGAAAUAAUUGUGUAUGCGAGAUUGACAGACUUCCUCGAGUCCACCUCUCUGCUAGACCCACUUCAGUCUGGUUUCCGCGCUAAGCACUCUGUGGAAACGGCACUGACCAAAGUAUCCAAUGAUCUACUCACUGCAAAAUCUCAUGGUCACUACUCUAUCCUAAUUCUCCUUGACCUGUCUGCGGCUUUUGACACUGUUGAUCAUCAACAGCUUCUUCUCAUCCUUCGCAAUAUCGGUCUGCAAGAUAUUGCUCCCUCCUGGUGCUCCUCCUACCACUCCCAGCGCUCUUUCAGUGUUUCUUUCUCUGGCUCUGCUUCUUCUCCCCAACUCCUCUCUGUUGGUGUCCCCCACGGUUCAGUCCUUGGUCUCCUACUGUUCUCCAUCUAUACUGCCUCCCUUGGUAAACCUAUUAGCUCCUUUGGCUUCCAAUAUCAUUUCUAUGCAGAUGACGCGCAAAUCUACCUGUCCUCUCCUGAUUUCUCCCCGUCCCUCUUGACUAGUGUCUCUGACUGCCUCUCUGCUGUUUCUAACUGGAUGGCUGCCCACUUCCUUAAACUAAACUUGACCAAAACUGAAAUUCUGGUCUUUCCUCCCUCAAGUGUUGUUACUCCUGUGUCUGUCUCCCACCAAGUCAACGGUGCUACCAUCAGCACCACCACGCAGGCUCGCUGCCUACGUGUUCUCUUUGACUCCGACCUCUCCUUCAAGCCUCAUGUUCACCAUCAAACAUGACCUUAAUUUACUAUAAACAACCAUCCACAACCUGACUACCAACCCACACCAUGUUGCCAGUCCAUAAAGAAUGCGGCGGCAAGGCUCAUCUUCCUGUCCGCCCGCACCUCCCAUGCCUCACCCUUCUGUCAAUCCCUACAUUGGGUCCUAUAAAAUAUAGAGCUCAAUUUAAAAUUCUGGUUCUUGCUUUCAAAUCUCUACAUAAUGCUGCUCCCACCUAUCUAUCCUCCCUUAUACACAAGUAUGUCCCGUCUAGGCCCUUACGAUCUGCUGAAGACGUAUGUCUAUCUUCUGUCCGUACUCCCACCUCUGAUGCUCGCCUUCAAGAUUUCUCGAGGGCUGCACCGUUCCUGUGGAACUCGCUUCCCUCCUCCGUUAGAUGCUCACCCAGUCUCCACUCCUUCAAAAAAGCUUUAAAAACCCACUUCUUCAUAAAAGUGUAUCAAUUAAACUGUUAAUAGCUCUUGACUGAUUCCUCUUCUGCAACUGUCAUUAGUCUAAUACUAUCCUUACCUUUUUGUGUCAUUUUACCCCACUCCCUCUAGCAUGUAAGCUCAUUGAGCAGGGCCCUCAACCCCUCUGUUCCUGUGUGUCCAACUUGUCCGUCCACCCAUUGUAAAGCGCUGCGGAAUUUGACGGCGCUCUAUAAAUAUCAUAAUAAUAAUAAAUAUUAUGUUACCGUCAUUGGCACACAGGAAAGAAAUGUAAAAUUGCACGUAGGUAGUCACCUGUGUUAAUAUAAUAUCACUUUAUUUGAUGCUUGUAGUAAAAGGUACAGUUAUUCAAUUGUAAGAUGUAGGCUAUAACAAUAUUGAUUAUAAAGGCCAGGAAGCAAAGAGCCCUGAAAUGGAAGGCGGGUGACACACAGAGAUACCCCCAGGAUGGCCCACAAGUGGGGUCGGUUGAACAAAGCUGAGAGCAACAACCCGCUAUGUGAACAGGGCACAGAGACAUUCCGUGCAAAGCCAAGUCAGGCUGCCUGAAACAACUCCCAACGAGAUAUGUAUCUGUAGUUAGAUCAUCAAUAUGAGACUAUAAUUAAUAUGUGACUGUGGUUAAUGUUUACCUAUAGUUAACGUAACACUUCUCCUAUUUUUGCAUGAGUCUAAGGCUAAUUGAGAGAUGUAAUGUUUUAAGUCUGCAGCUGCUGCACUUGUCACAAUAGUAAGCUAGACCCAAAAGUCAGACCUAUGCGACAGGUUUAGGCACUCCACACCGCAGACAAGUUGUUCCCUACCUAACGCAUAGACACAUACACUUAUCUUGAAAGGUACUCUCCAUUAUCUAGACGUGCUGCUACCCCUAAACGAAAAAGCGAUAUAAAAUCAACCAUUGACCCACAACUCGGGGAGUACCUUAUGCUGCAUGUCUAUCCCGCGCAUGUCUAUGAGCCUGUGUGUGACAUAACUAGACAGUAUAAGUAUAAACAUAAGUAUACCCUCUUACAUACAGGUGAGAAUGGAAGCCUGCGAUAAGCCUGUUUGCAUCAACCAAUACCAGAAAUGUAAAGCAUGUUCAAAAUAUGACAACCUUCAAUUUAAAUAUAAAAUUGUGCACUGUUACCAUAUGCCCCACUGUUAUAACUGUUCAGGAAUAAGCAAGCAGAAUGCCGUUGGGGUACCACAUGCAUGUUUGUAACACCCAUAUGCACUGCAAAAAUUUAAAAUAAAAUAAAGGCCAGGAAGAUGUUGAUGCUGAAGAACACUCAUCCCAUAAAGAUCAUUAUAUGUCAUAUAAUGUAGAAAAAUAUUAAUUAAUGCAUAUAAGACAAGCCUGUAGUAAACAUGGUUGAAUUUGAUAUUUACAUUUUUAAAACUAUUUUUCAGAUAUGUGCAAAGGAAUUCACAAAGUUCUGAACUGUACUGGCGAUAUAAAGUUGUUCCUGCAUUUUUGGAUGAUAUCACCAAUGUCAACUACACAGUAGGACUGUUGAAAGGAAAAAGCAAAUCACAAAAAUCUCAAGAAUAUACCGUUAAUUGUUCUGGAAAUGUACCAAUAAUCACAUGUGAGGAUUGGCAAAAACAUUCCUUACCUUGUAAGCACAUGUGCUGCAUUUUUAAAUUUGUGGAUGGAUAGGAAUGUGAAGAGCUCUAUUUAUCAUAUUCAAGUAAUCCCCUGUUCUCUUUCGAUUUAGAAUGUUUUUUUAUUUUUUUAUUAUUGCAUUUUGAGCACAAGCUAGGAACAGAAAUUCCAGAUUUUAAUAGCCCUACCUUAUUCCACCUUGAAAAUUUUACUCCACUUCCACCAUGCAGGAGAGCAAAGCGUUACAUUACUGCGUAGCUGUACACAGAAUUUAAAGCGUCUCUUGGAUUCUGUGCAUUAAGUCAAGGAUGAAGAUUAUCUUGGGGAAUUGGAUUCCUCAAUCAAAGAUCUGCUCCAAGGCGCAAAACUUAAAAUACCUGUAGACCAUGGACUCCAUCUGCUUGAGUCUCUCCAGAAAUCCAAACUUUAGAAAAAUCUGAAGCCUUUACCAAGAGCAUAUGGAAAGCCUAAAACGCUAGGAUCACAACGAUUUGGGUCCAAAGCGGACAUGCAAAAACAAGAUGUUUGGGAAAGUAGUGAAGAUCCUUCUGCAAGAGUGGUUGACUUAAAUCCAUCAGAUAAAUGGGUGACUAUAAAUAAUAUUUCGCUCACUUACAGUGACAAAUGGGAUAUUGAGAAAAAUAACUGGUUGGGUGACAACAUUAUAAAUGUAUAUUGACACAUUACUCCAAGCACCUGAAUGUGAGCAAACCCUGCAAAUUCAUCAUGUGUCCAAUCAUUGGGUUGUAUCUCACAGACAUAGUACUACUGUUAUAGUGUAUGACUCCUCUAAUGCAACAUACACUAAAAGAACUACUGGUAAAAUUGGACAGGCCUUUAUUGAGUGGAGCUGAUAUGGUCUUAAAACUGGACCAUAUUUGCCAUCAAAAGCAAGAGGGAGGCAGUGACUGUGGAGUAUUUGCGAUUGCUAAUGCUGUAGCCCUUGCAAGUAGAUUUGAUUUAAACAUGCUGAAUCUACAGCAAAGUAAAAUGAGGACCCACUUAGUUAAUAGUCUUGCUGAAAAGACGAUAAUGUUUCCACACAAGAUAUUGAAUGCACCAGAAAAAAUUGUUGCUUUUUUUUAAGCGAGUUGAACUUACAGUUCAUUGUAAGCGUCAUAUUUACAGGUCAAAAACUCCCAUGGUGGAAUGUUUUGCGUUCAAGCUGUGGUUUCACUUCAGUUGUGUUGGGUUAAAAAAAGAUGACAAAUGUUUGCAAUCAAAGAAAAGGUUUUAUUGCCCCUCUUGCAAAUAAAACCCCAAAAGGUGAAAGAAAUUAAAAAAAAAAGUUGUAGUUUGCAAAGUGUUAAUGUUUUAAAAACCUUAUUAUAUAACAUAUGCCAAACCUGUGAUUAAAAGCGAACUUCAAAAUGUGCGUAUGGGAAUAGAAUAUAAGAAAGCAAUAACUGUACAUGUUUCAGAAUGUUAAAUGUAUUUAAGUUCACUUUUAACCCCUUAAAACUGGAGGGCGUACUAUUACGCCCUAUUCUAAGCGUCUCUAAACGCCGCAGGGCGUAAUAAUACGCCCUCUAGUUUCUGUUACUUACCGAUCGCUGGCGAUCCCACGCCGGUGAUUGCGGUUGGGGAGACUCACCUGGGAUCCCAGGGAGUCCCCCGCGGCGGAUCCUGCCUCCUCCGGCCCCCCC